rnacentral:rRNA from 1 species
UACAGAGGUCUCAAGCGUUGUUCGGAUUCAUUGGGCGUAAAGGGUGCGUAGGCGGCGCGGUAAGUCGGGUGUGAAAUUUCGAGGCUUAACUUCGAAACUGCAUUCGAUACUGCCGUGCUUGAGGACUGGAGAGGAGACUGGAAUUCAUGGUGUAGCAGUGAAAUGCGUAGAGAUCAUGAGGAAGACCAGUGGCGAAGGCGGGUCUCUGGACAGUUCCUGACACUGAGGCACGAAGGCCAGGGGAGCAAACGGG